rnacentral:rRNA from 1 species
GGAUCAAUGCGUCGGUCGUGCCUUCAGUACGUACUAGCGUCAUUGAUUCCUCCCUUCUGAAGAACUGUGAUGUCAUUAAUUUGGUGUUACAGAGAAUCAGGACUGUUACCUUAAAAAUUAGAGUGUUUAAAGCAGGCCAACACUUGAAUACAUUAGCAUGGAAUAAUGAAAUAGGACGUUCGAACCUAUUUUGUUGGUUUCUAGGAUCGACGUAAUGAUUAA